rnacentral:rRNA from 1 species
GAUGAACGCUGGCGGCGUGCCUAAUACAUGCAAGUCGAGCGGACAGGCCCUGCUCUUGUUCGGUGCUCGUGUGCGGCACAGGUGUGUAUCACGCGUGUAACAUGUCCUUGUAUUUGGGAUAUAUUUUGGAAACUGGGGAUAAUAUCGCAUAGAAUAUCUUGAUGCAUGUGGGUGAAUGGUAAGAUUCGGCGGUUGGGGAUGGAAUCGCGGCUUACCAGCUUGUUGGUGGGGUAGUUGCUUACCAAGGCUUUGACGGGUAGCCGGCCUGAGAGGGUGACCGGCCACAUUGGGACUGAGAGACGGCCCAGACUCCUACGUGAGGCAGCAGUGGGGAAUAUUGCACAAUGAGCGGAAGCCUGAUGCAACAACGCCGCGUGCGGGAUGACGGGCUUCGGGUUGUAAACCGCUGUCGCCGGUGACGAAGCGGGAGUGACGGUAAUGGGUAAAGAAGCACCGGCUAACUACGUG